AAUGAAGUGCCUGAAUAAAGGAUUAUUUUGAUAGAAUAAAUUAUGUAUAAAUUACCUCCAUUA
rnacentral:tRNA from 1 species